rnacentral:tRNA from 1 species
AUUUAAGUAGUUUAUUUUUAAAAUAUUGAUUUGUGGUGUCAAUGAAGCAUAAUAGUGCCUUAAGUU